AAAUGUUGAUGAUGAUAAUAAUUAAAUGAAAUUAUAACGUUUUAGUAAAUAUUUCAAAUUAAAUUCAAAGUAUAAUUUUGCUAAGCGAUUCUAUAAGCGAUUUUUGAUUCACGGCAUUUUUCAAUAAUCUCUGUUAUAAUUAAUUUAUAACAUUGUAUAAUCAUUUGAACUUCUUUUAAAUGGUUAUUUGAAACAUAUAUGUAUUAUAGUAUUUUUUGAUGUGAAAUACUUCUGGAACAUUCUGUCACUCUAAAGUUAAGGCAUAAACUUUUUUAAAUUUGAUUAUCAACGAUCUUUGCUUCUAUUUAAUAAGUUUAUUUUUAAAACGAAAAUUAACAAUUGAAGAGUUUCGCUAUCAAUCUCUAAAGAUUUUCAUUACUGUUUGAUUUGGACAUACAAAGCAAGCUCGCUCCAAAUUGAUUUCUAUAAUAAAAAAAUGGACUACACAAAUUCUAUUUAAUAAAAUGGGGUUAAGAUGAAAAUAAGAAUUUCUUAAAGUGACGAAAUUGUUAGCAGGACAUUUUGACCUUUCAGACUUAUAUCUACUAUUAAUCUCCUUGUUGCGUAUGGAGAAGGAAAUUUUAAAUUUCCGUUCGUGUGAAUUUAUCGGGGGGCAUUGAAGAAACAGUCUUAUAAAAGCACUGCUUGGAUUAUGAUUCCAACUUAUAUAAAUAUAACGAAUAUAUAUUAAAUAAAAUUACUAAUUUUUAGUUAGUAGUAGUAGUUACUGUUAGUGUAUUUUGCUUCGAUGCUUGUAUAUAAAUAUAUUGUACUACCUUAUAAAAUAUAAUAUUGUUAGUAGUACCUUCAAAAAUAAAUACAACAAUAUAUUUCAGUUGUAUCUAACUAAUCCAGAAGAACAAUUAUACUUUUAAAAUACCAACUAAAUAAAUUAGUUUAUUAAUGCUUUAUACGUGGAUGAUACACAAACUAUAUGUAACGAAUAUUGAAAAAUCUUUUAUAUCAAUUAUCACUGAUACGUUUAUUUUUUGCAUAUAUAUUUUCCUUUAUCUGUUAUAUAAGGAAGAUCUUAUUGGUUUUCAUGGUCAUGUGUACGCUGAGAGAAUAUUAGUGACUAAAUACAAUUGAUAUAUAAAUAGAAUAUAUGUAGUAAAACGUUUAGUUUUGCUAUUCUAAUUCUGUGUCACAAAUAAAAAAUAAUAAACAAAAUAAGGUCGAGUGUAAAUGCUGUAGGUAUAGAUUGCUAAUUUGUGAAGGUUAGGCAAAUAAAAAUUGCAUUGGCAAAAAAUAUAAACAUUUAAUUAACUUCCGCGUGUAGGAAAUAUUUAUUUGUAUGUAUGUAUGUAUGUAUGUAUGUAUGUAUGUAUGUAUGUAUGUAUGUAUGUAUGUAUGUAUGUAUGUAUGUAUGUAUGUAUGUAUGUAUGUAUGUAUGUAUGUAUGUAUGUAUAUAUGUAUGUUUUAUUAAUGUGGAUGUAUUCGGAUCAAAUUUUGCAACUGACUUUUAAACUAUUAUCUAACCCAGUUCAGAUAAAGAUUUUCAAACGCCUUUAGUUUGCACUAUGGUACAGUUUUAUAUCCAAUAUGGCUGACGAUCCAAAAUGGUAGCGCUGUUAUAUACUAUACACUCUUGUGUUAUAACUAUAGCUUUGAUUAAGAAAAACAAUAAAUUUUAUAAUCCGGCGAUAAUUAACUAUUUAAGUAUAAAGUAAUAAAAUUCAUAAUAAUAUCUACGAAUGUUUUGAGUUACAUAAUAUUAGAAAUAAACGAAUGAUCAUUUUAUUUUAUUAUUUUACAUUUUUUUCGAAGUUUCAACUUCGUGGCUGUAACCGUGACCACGAGUAGACGAGAUGAAAGUGUCUGUUAGAUAACAUACUUUUAUUAUAUAUUUAUUUAUUAUAUUAUACUUAGCAUACUUUUCUUAGGUAUUUCAUCUACCGCCGACGAUUAAAAUAAUAAAAUCAAGAAGUAUAAACAGAAAAUAAUAGUUUUAUUUGAAUGAAAAUAAUUUAUACUAAUGCUCGUCCUAAAAGUGUUCCAUGGUAUUCCAGAACAUUCUUUGAGCAUAUAAUUUUUGUAUGUAAGUUUUAUGAUUUUUAAUUGAUGCAGGCUUUCCCAUUAGGUUUUUUUUAAAUUAUUUUAUGCUCAAUUCACAUAACAUUAGGAUAAAAGCUUUCCCCGAGGAAGUUGAUUUUGAUAUUUAAAUUUAAGAACACUAUUAUUUUUAUUAUUUAUUUAUCUACAUAUACAUUUGUCAAUGUCAGAUAUAUGCUCCAUGACUUUUUUUAAUUUUCGUUUUAUAAUAGCUAGGCAUAGAACCUUAUAGAAGACAUUUUAUUUACCGAAAUGCAUUUUUUUUAAAGGAAUGUCGUGAGCCCAAAUUAAGCAUUAAAACGAUUUUAAGUUCUAGAUUUAACACGGAAUACUUUAGGAAUAUAGGAAUACUGUUAAGCUAUUAUUAAUUUAUUAGUACAAGACAAAGUAACCAUGUAUGUGUCUGAUAGGUAAUAAAGUUUUCCAGAGGUAAAGUUAAAUUUGCUAGUUGGCUUUAUUCGUUCAUCUUUUUAUUAAAUAAUAAGUUGGCAAUUUAAAAAGUAUUGGUAGAAUAAAUACAAACUAAAUAUAGUUAAUUUGUUUUUUCUUACUGGCUCAUAUUCAUAAGAUUUAUCUUUUGUUUAUAAUAACGGGAAUUUUGCUACACGCUUUCAUGUGAAAUAAAUAUUGUAAACUAAUAAUUUAAUAAGUUCAUAUGUAGCUAUCUAAAUUGAAUUUUUUUUAGAUCCUGGAAUAGUAAAUAAUAGGUAUCAAUUUAUAAAUUUGUUUGUAAGAACAAAAAAUAAAAUAUGUACUGUUUUGUCUUUAAAUGGUUCGGUAGUUAUAACAUUUCCAUGGUUAAUUUAGUUGGAAACUAGUUGCUCCAUAUAAUCUAUUUUCUCUUACCCUGUAUUGAAUGAAUUACGUAAUACAUGUCAUUUAGUUUCCUAUGACCUUUGUAGUUGAUCGCAUUUCACAUUACAAGGUAAAUAUCUAUUUUUAUAUUGCAAAUAAAACAUAUAUUACUUUUAUUUGCAAUAAUAUAACGAUUUGUGUUUAUAAUUAAAUUCUUAUUUAACAGAAUAUCGUAAUAAAAAUAUAGGAUUUAAAAUAUUUGAGAUUUGAUGUGUAAUAAUUGUAAUUAUUUAUUGAAAUUAAUUUCCAUCGGUCGAUAUAAAGUUUCACAGUUCACAGUUUUAAAAAUAGAGUGGGUUUUCAAAAACGGCCAUAAUACCUUAUCAUACAUACCAUACCAUAUAUAGAUAUAUACCUAAGUAAUAAUGAUAAAUAAUGCACCAUGAGAACAAUACAAAUAAUUUGUGACUAUAUAUCUUAAGAUAAGCGAUUUAAUUUUGUUUUUGUAAUUUUUUGUACUUUUAUAACCAAUUUUUAUCGUCAUCUUGAAAGAAAUUUUAAUAUUCAUCAGUAAAUAAUCUUGUGAUUAUUCCAUUCCAACUGUUUCCUAAAAUUACUUUACGAUAGCAUAACUCAAUAUCUCUCGCAAUGAUCCAUACUUUUAAGUUUUAUUUAAAUAGGACGGAUGCAUUGCAUAUUUUUUCCAUUCAUCAUAUCAUAGUCACUCCAUCGAACGUUCUCGGAGUAUAUUUGAUUUACAUUUAUUCUUUUAACCUCAUUUUUAUUCCAUUUUGCAACUUUAGCUUGGCGAUUACGUAAUGUGUUUUUAGUAUCUGUUGUUAUAUACUGACGUUGUUUACAGGAUUUGACCUUUUACGAUAAGACCGUAAUUUCUAAUUAGUAACAAUGCUAAAGAUAAUUUACGACGAUUAUAAGAAUGAGACGUGACCUGAAUAUCGAAUGUCAGAGAUAAAUUGAACAAACAACAUUAUUCUUUAAUUAAAGCUAUUUACUAAAUUCUAUUCCUUAUAUUUUGUGCUACAUUUAUAUGAUUUUAAUAAUUUUAUUAUUUGGUGGUAUAGUUAAAAAUAGUGUGUAUAUAAUAAUAAUUAUGAUUUGUUAAUAAAAUAUUAAGCUCAAA